rnacentral:tRNA from 3 species
GCCGGAGUGGUGAAACUGGUAGACACGCACGUUUCAGGGGCGUGUGGGAGUGAUCCCAUGAGAGUUCAAAUCUCUCCUCCGGCACCA